UACAGUGUCACCCAGGCUAUAGUACAGUGAUGCCACCACAGCUGACUGCAGCCUCAACCUCCUGGGCUCAAGUGGUCCUCCUGCCGCAGCUUCCGGAGUAGCUGGGACCACAGGCAUGUGCCACCACACCCAGGCUCACAGGAUGGCUGCUCACCUCUGGACAUCACAUCUACAUUCCAGCAAAGGGAUUGAAAUUCAACGCAUUGCACACCUUUUCAAGCCACUAUCGCAGAUUGGUCGCUGUCACUUUCCCUGGGACCUGUUUAUCCACCAUUAAUCUCUUCAAGUCUGACCACCAACAAACCUGUGGGAUGAAGC